CGCUCCACCGGGCCGGGCGCGUGCGGCCGCCGAGCACAUGGGCCCUCGGGCCGUGCGCGCUCCGGGCGGCCCAGACCCGGAGGAGCAGCAGGGGCCGCGAGCGGGGAUGGGCCCUGGUACCCCUCGGCACCCCCCGAGUGGAGCUCCACGCGGAAAGGAUGUUGGCGGCCCCAGUGAUACGGCUUGGAUCGACCUUCCAGCCUGAUCUUUUGACCAGAAAGGAAUGAAAAGGAUACCCUUCCUGAUUGAUGGCCACACCUGUCUGUUGCAUGGAGCCUCAUCCAAGGAUUUUGAGCCAUGUGGAUUUACAGUGAUAUCCAGCUGCCCAGGGAAUAACACUGGUGGAGGAAGCUUCCCUGGAAUUAUGCACACCUGGCACGUUUCUGGAUGCUGAAAAUGGUGUUAAGGAAGGCGCUGGCUGAGUGCAUCAUGGAUUCCAGCAGCCUGGGUGCUGGAGGGAGAUGGAGGACCAAAGCUUCCUACGCAGGCUGAGCCCUUAUCUUGGACAGGAAUGUUUGGUUGGGUCUUUCCAGGACCCUGUGGGGGCUCCCUAGGAAAUCAAGGAGGAGGCCAACCGAGCAUUUGGACCCUUGGAUUUGGUGUCUAGAGCUCACACACAUGGUCCCGGCAUUGACCCUGCUCCUGCCCACAUGAGACGAUAAUCCUGUUAUACUUGGAAUGUAGGUGCCUUUAAUCUGAAAAACACAAAAAAGCACUUAUUCAUUCAGCACUCCAGAAGGAUAUGAGGACUGGCCUUCCCUGAACUAAAACUGUAAUACCUUGAGAUCUGGACAAUUCAGGUAAGAGAAUUUCUCCUCUUGAGCCUUAUGG